GAUGAACGCUGGCGGCGUGCCUAAUACAUGCAAGUCGAGCGAACAGACGAGGAGCUUGCUCCUCUGACGUUAGCGGCGGACGGGUGAGUAACACGUGGAUAACCUACCUAUAAGACUGGGAUAACUUCGGGAAACCGGAGCUAAUACCGGAUAAUAUAUUGAACCGCAUGGUUCAAUAGUGAAAGACGGUUUUGCUGUCACUUAUAGAUGGAUCCGCGCCGCAUUAGCUAGUUGGUAAGGUAACGGCUUACCAAGGCAACGAAGCGUAGCCGACCUGAGAGGGGGAUCGGCCACACUGGAACUGAGACACGGUCCAGACUCCUACGGGAGGCAGCAGUAGGGAAUCUUCCGCAAUGGGCGAAAGCCUGACGGAGCAACGCCGCGUGAGUGAUGAAGGUCUUCGGAUCGUAAAACUCUGUUAUUAGGGAAGAACAAAUGUGUAAGUAACUAUGCACGUCUGGACGGUACCUAAUCAGAAAGCCACGGCUAACUACGU
rnacentral:rRNA from 1 species